rnacentral:rRNA from 1 species
UACGUGAGGGGCAAGCGUUGUCCGGAUUUAUUGGGCGUAAAGAGCGUGUAGGCGGCCUUGACAGGUCUGGCUAGUGAAAAGCUCGACGGCCUCAACCUCGAGAUGUCGGCGGGAAACCGUACUGGCUAUGGAGUCCGGGAAGAGGAGAUGUGGAAUUCCUGGUGUAAGCGGUGAAAUGCGCAGAUAGUCGAAGGAGGAACCACCGGUGGCGAAGGCGGGACUCUGGGCCGAUACUGACGCUGAGGAGCGAAAGCGUGGGGAGCAAACAGG